GGGUACAUAAUGCUGGUACAAUUGACUAUAAAAGCUUUCUUAUUUCAAAAUCAGUUGUGAAAUUGUUUAAUGUUUAUUUUCAUAUUAUUUGUAUCUGUUGUGAAAUUACAAGGUUUAUUUAAAUGGGUACAUUUCGGGUACAUUUUCAAUAGUCACAUUUAAAGUUGGUACAUUACGGGUACAAUUUAACUUUUUAAUUUACCCAGGGUACAUAUCUGGUAAACAUUUCAACAUUAAUAUUUUUUGUUGGGUACAUUUCGGGUACAUUUUAACUUUUCAAUUUUUAAUCUGGGUACAUU